GGGAUUGCCCAGUAACGGCGAGUGAAGCGGCAUCAGCUCAAAUUUGAAAUCUGGCGUCUUCGGCGUCCGAGUUGUAAUUUGUAGAGAGUGUCUCGGGUGGAGCACCGGUCCAAGUCCCUUGGAACAGGAUAUCAUAGAGGGUGAGAAUCCCGUAUCCGGCCGGUCCCCUCCCCCGCUGUGAGACCUCUUCGACGAGUCGAGUUGUUUGGGAAUGCAGCUCUAAAUUGGAGGUAAAUUCCUUCUAAAGCUAAAUACUGGCCAGAGACCGAUAGCGCACAAGUAGAGUGAUCGAAAGAUGAAAAGCACUUUGAAAAGAGAGUCAAACAGUACGUGAAAUUGUUGAAAGGGAAGCGUAUGCGGCCAGACUUGUCCCCAGUUGCUCAGCCCGUCUUUUGGCGGGUGUACUCUUCUGGGGCCAGGCCAGCAUCGGUUUGGGCGGUCGGAUAAAGACGUUAGGAAUGUGGCCCCUCUCGGGGGGUGUUAUAGCCUGGCGUGCAAUGCGAUCAGCCCGGACCGAGGCCCGCGUUCUGCUAGGAUGCUGGCGUAAUGGCCGUAUACGGCCCGUCUUGAAACACGGACCAAGGAGUGCAACAUCUAUGCGAGUGUUUGGGUGUCAAGCCCGGACGCGAAAUGAAAGUGAACGGAGGUGGGAGCUUCGGCGCACCAUCGACCGAUCCUGAUGUCUUCGGAAGGAUUUGAGUAAGAGCAUAGCUGAUGCGACCCGAAAGAUGGUGAACUAUGCGUGAAUAGGGUGAAGCCAGAGGAAACUCUGGUGGAGGCUCGCAGCGG
rnacentral:rRNA from 2 species